CCUACGGGAGGCAGCAGUGGGGAAUAUUGGGCAAUGGGCGCAAGCCUGACCCAGCGACGCCGCGUGAGGGAAGAAGGCUUUCGGGUUGUAAACUUCUUUUAAGGGGGAAGAACAGAAGACGGUACCCCUUGAAUAAGCCACAGCUAACUACGUGCCAGCAGCCGCGGUAAUACGUAGGUGGCAAGCGUUGUACGGAUUUACUGGGUGUAAAGGGCGUGCAGCCGGGGAGACAAGUCAGAGGUGAAAUCCACGGGUUCAACCCGUGAACUGCAUUUGAAACUGUUUCCCUUGAGUGUCGGAGAGGUAAUCGGAAUUCCUGGUGUAGCGGUGAAAUGCGUAGAUAUAAGGAAGAACACCAGUGGCGAAGGCGGAUUACUGGACGAUAACUGACGGUGAGGCGCGAAAGCGUGGGGAGCAAACAGGAUUAGAUACCCGAGUAGUC
rnacentral:rRNA from 1 species